GGAAGCGUGGCUGAGUGGUUGAAGGCACCGGUCUUGAAAACCGGAGUAUCCGAAAGGGUACCGGAGGUUCGAAUCCUCCCGCUUCCG
rnacentral:tRNA from 3 species